rnacentral:lncRNA from 1 species
UAGAACAUCUUUGUAUAUUGAAAUAUACUUGAAAAAAAAAUGAAUGUAUUCCCCCGCCCCCCAAAGACUAGCAUGCUUCACUCAGUGUGGUAGACAGACACAUUUCUUUAGCUCUGUGUCUGUGUCUAUAAGGGACAUGAUGGGCUGCCAGUCUCCCUUCUGAGUCUUCGAGGAAGGUGGGGCUCUUCUGCCCUGCCUGCUGUGUGACAGCCUUCGAGCAUCUUGAGUGCGGUUAGGCUAUGCUUUAGAUACAUGUAGGGAGAAAGCAGGACAUUGUGGCUGAGUCAACCCACCUCAAGGUGAAGAGGAAUGUUGCUAAUUUUCUAGCAGAUUAGACCAGCAUUGAUAUUCAAACUGAAAAUACUAGGCCUCAAAAGACACCAUUAAGCUCCUGGAUAGCUUUUUGCCUUUUUAUUUAAGGGACUUCUAUAGUGGCAAACAGUUGCUUGGUGCUGUAUUUACCAAGUGAGAGGGUUUGCUUUUUUUUUUCUCACAAAAUUAUGGGAGCAUUCUAGGUAGUUCUCGAGACCUUCGGUUUUAGAAGAGGGAAAUAAAAUUAGGAUUUCCCAAAGAUGAUAUAUACCACGUUCAGUUGCUUUUCUAUCUUUUGCUCAAUGAUAGAACACAUUUUUUAAAUCUCUUUACCCUUUCAUGUGAAAAAUUUAGAACUGUGAAAUAUUUAGGAACAAACCAUGGAAAGCACACUGGAGUGGAAGGGAAUGUCUCCAACCCAGGUAAAGCUUACGGCUCUGUGUUUGGACUCCGGACUUCUGCUGCGCACCCAUAGGUUACCAGAGAAUGUAAUUUUCCCAGGACAUGUUGAGUCCCUACAGCAGAGACGAUGGAUUUUACAAUAGUGCCUCCGAACACAGACACAGCAGGGUUUUCUUUGCCUUUCCAAGCAGUGUUUACCGUCGCUGCUCUUUCAGCCCUUGUCUUUUUGCAGAUGGGUUACUUGGGGGUAAUUUUCCUCAGAGAGAGUUUAUUGCACACAAGAUGAAGUUUUAUUACAGGGCUUAUAGGAGUCAAGGUGUAAAGUCUCCAAAGACAUCGAAGAGUGGAUGCCGAGCAUCUAGGCUGUUCCCCGCUCGAAUGUCAGAGGUCUCACAGGGUCAGAGGAUCCUUGGAUCUAGGGGGUGUUUCUCCGAAAAAAAAAAACAAAGUCUUAUUAGCUAGGAGAGGUGAUGUACACAUUCUAGAUUCUAGGAAGUGCUCAUUAUCGAUUCUCCAUUCGGUUGAGGGCCAUUAGUUGAUCUGUCGCUUGGAUCUUCUGGAAAUGUCUUCAUUUGUAGCAUCCUUUAUUCUCCUACCAGGAUGAAGAGGAGUUCAGCGUUUCUGUCUGAUGGUUGUGAUUGCCUUGUGGGUGUGAUACAUGGGUGGUGGUUGAGGGAUCCUUAUGUUGGGGAAGGAACUAUUUUCUUUCCAUUUCUUCAUUAAAAGUUGACUAUGUUCCGGAUGUUGGGGGUCCGCAGUAUGGGUUGUUUAUGGUAUUCAGUGAUUAAGACCAUGUGGAUAUGGUAUUUUUUUUUCUUUUGUGAAAAUGAUUUUUCUUUCUCUUUGGUGAUUUAAAAAAAUUUGUUACACCUGUUUCGCUUUGUAACUUUACAUCUUCAUCACCUUCAUGUAACGUCUAGGAUCAUUUCCAAUAAAUAUGUUGCUGCCGUU